rnacentral:lncRNA from 1 species
GAUGGUUGUGAACCACCAUGUGGUUGCUGGGAAUUGAACUCAGGACCUCUGGAAGAGCAGUCAGUGCUCUUAACUGCUGAACUAGUUAAAAGCCCCACUAAAAGACUUUUGAGGAAAUGAAACCCAAGACCCAAAGAUGCUCUGGUAGACCUCUUUUGUUUUGUUUUGUUUUUGUUUCUAGAUCUCUGUUCUAAACCACCAUGUCUUUGAUUCUCUAGGGCUAUCUGAAGCAAGCAGUUGGGUAAUUUCAUCCUUUGGACCAGAGGAGAAAAAUAUCCCUGAGGCUGCUUGGAUGCUGCCUUCUCUGAUCCUCACAGUGGGAAUCCAUCCCCUGCCUUCCUGUCCUCUGCAUCAUGGCCACUCCAGCAGCAAUCAUCUUGUUCCUUUUUCUACGGUGUUUGAAGCAACUUUGCCCUUGUGAUCCCAGAUGUUUCCUGACUUCCAGGACUGAUCUUGUUCAUCUAUGUAACUUCCAAGGCUCAAGAGAGACUUUGAGAACUAAUUUCUUCAGAUGGUCCAUGUCUUUGUGAGCCAUUCUCCAAACAUGUUGUCUCAGCCACCCAAGGGCUGAGAAGGGACACUUUCGCCAUGUCUACUGCUAUCAUUUCCCUGCACAGCCAUCAAAAACCGUCCCUUUCCUGGACUUCCUAUAAAUUGUAACACAAUGAUUCAUGUCCUAACUCACGAUUUCUGAGUUGCUGGUGGUUUGAUGAGUUUAUUACCCCAUGUCUUCACUGCCUUGGGAUCCAUUUCAGCUCACUGCAGUUUUGUUACAUUUACCUUUCUAAGAAUGUCCUUGCCUGUACUUUUAAAUCAAUUCUUGUGUUCACAAAAAUCUAAUUCCU